rnacentral:rRNA from 1 species
UACGUAGGGGGCAAGCGUUGUCCGGAUUUAUUGGGCGUAAAGAGCGUGUAGGCGGCCUGACAGGUCUGCUGUGAAAACUCGAGGCUCAACCUCGAGAUGUCGGCGGAAACCGUCUGGCUAGAGUCCGGAAGAGGAGAGUGGAAUUCCUGGUGUAGCGGUGAAAUGCGCAGAUAUCAGGAGGAACACCGGUGGCGAAGGCGGUUCUCUGGGCCUGUACUGACGCUGAGGAGCGAAAGCGUGGGGAGCGAACAGG